GACGAACGCUGGCGGCGCGCCUAACACAUGCAAGUCGGACGAGAGAGAGGAAGCUUGCUUCCUUAAUCGAGUGGCGAACGGGUGAGUAACGCGUGAGGAACCUGCCUCAAAGAGGGGGACAACAGUUGGAAACGACUGCUAAUACCGCAUAAGCCCACGACCCGGCAUCGGGUUGAGGGAAAAGGAGCAAUCCGCUUUGAGAUGGCCUCGCGUCCGAUUAGCUGGUUGGUGAGGUAACGGCCCACCAAGGCGACGAUCGGUAGCCGGACUGAGAGGUUGAACGGCCACAUUGGGACUGAGACACGGCCCAGACUCCUACGGGAGGCAGCAGUGGGGAAUAUUGCACAAUGGGGGAAACCCUGAUGCAGCGACGCCGCGUGGAGGAAGAAGGUCUUCGGAUUGUAAACUCCUGUUGUUGAGGAAGAUAAUGACGGUACUCAACAAGGAAGUGACGGCUAACUACGUGCCAGCAGCCGCGGUAAAACGUAGGUCACAAGCGUUGUCCGGAAUUACUGGGUGUAAAGGGAGCGCAGGCGGGAAGACAAGUUGGAAGUGAAAUCUAUGGGCUCAACCCAUAAACUGCUUUCAAAACUGUUUUUCUUGAGUAGUGCAGAGGUAGGCGGAAUUCCCGGUGUAGCGGUGGAAUGCGUAGAUAUCGGGAGGAACACCAGUGGCGAAGGCGGCCUACUGGGCACCAACUGACGCUGAGGCUCGAAAGUGUGGGUAGCAAACAGG
rnacentral:rRNA from 1 species